rnacentral:rRNA from 1 species
AAUACGAAGGGACCUAGCGUAGUUCGGAAUUACUGGGCUUAAAGAGUUCGUAGGUGGUUGAAAAAGUUGGUGGUGAAAUCCCAGAGCUUAACUCUGGAACUGCCAUCAAAACUUUUCAGCUAGAGUAUGAUAGAGGAAAGCAGAAUUUCUAGUGUAGAGGUGAAAUUCGUAGAUAUUAGAAAGAACACCAAAUGCGAAGGCAACUUACUGGGUCACUACUGACACUGAGGAGCGAAAGCAUGGGUAGCAAAGAGGAUUAGAUACCCUCGUAGUCCAUGCCGUAAACGAUGUGUGCUAGACGUUGGAAAUAUAUUUUUCAGUGUCGCAGCGAAAGCAUUAAGCACACCGCCUGGGGAGUACGACCGCAAGGUUAAAACUCAAAUGAAUUGACGGGGACCCGCACAAGCAGUGGAGCAUGUGGUUUAAUUCGAAGAUACGCGCAGAACCUUACCAACGCUUGACAUGUUCGUCGCGAGACUAAGAGAUUAGUCUUUUCAGUUAGGCUGGACGAAACACAGGUGCUGCAUGGCUGUCGUCAGCUCGUGUCGUAAGAUGUUGGGUUAAGUCCCGCAACGAGCGCAACCCCUACUUUUAGUUGCCACCAUUUAGUUGGGCACUUUAAAAGAACUGCCAGUGAUAAGCUGGAGGAAGGUGGGGAUGACGUCAAGUCCUCAUGGCCCUUAUGUGUUGGGCUACACACGUGCUACAAUGGCACUUACAAUGGGAUGCGAAGAGGUGACUCUUAGCUAAUCCCUAAAAUGUGUCUCAGUUCGGAUUGUACUCUGUAACUCGAGUGCAUGAAGCUGGAAUUGCUAGUAAUCGCGGAUCAGCGCGCCGCGGUGAAUACGUUCCCGGGUCUUGUACACACCGCCCGUCACACCAUGGAAGUUGGUUACACCUUAAGGCAAAGCUUAUACCUUUGACUACGGUACGAUCAGC